rnacentral:rRNA from 1 species
AGUAAUGCGUGACCAACCUGCCCCAUGCUCCAGAAUAGCUCUUGGAAACGGGUGGUAAUGCUGGAUGCUCCAACUUGACGCAUGUCUUGUUGGGAAAGUGUUUAGUGGCAUGGGAUGGGGUCGCGUCCUAUCAGCUUGUAGGCGAGGUAAUGGCCCACCUAGGCUUCGACGGGUAGCCGGCCUGAGAGGGCGGACGGCCACAUUGGGACUGAGAUACGGCCCAGACUCCUACGGGAGGCAGCAGUC